rnacentral:rRNA from 1 species
AUUGAACGCUGGCGGCAGGCCUAACACAUGCAAGUCGAGCGGAUGAAGGGAGCUUGCUCCUGGAUUCAGCGGCGGACGGGUGAGCAAUGCCUAGGAAUCUGCCUGGUAGUGGGGGAUAACGUCCGGAAACGGGCGCUAAUACUGCAUACGUCCUGAGGGAGAAAGUGGGGGAUCUUCGGACCUCACGCUAUCAGAUGAGCCUAGGUCGGAUUAGCUAGUUGGUGGGGUAAAGGCCUACCAAGGCGACGAUCCGUAACUGGUCUGAGAGGAUGAUCAGUCACACUGGAACUGAGACACGGUCCAGACUCCUACGGGAGGCAGCAGUGGGGAAUAUUGGACAAUGGGCGAAAGCCUGAUCCAGCCAUGCCGCGUGUGUGAAGAAGGUCUUCGGAUUGUAAAGCACUUUAAGUUGGGAGGAAGGGCAGUAAGUUAAUACCUUGCUGUUUUGACGUUACCAACAGAAUAAGCACCGGCUAACUUCGUG